rnacentral:rRNA from 1 species
UACGUAGGGUGCGAGCGUUAAUCGGAAUUACUGGGCGUAAAGCGUGCGCAGGCGGUUUUGCAAGACAGAUGUGAAAUCCCCGGGCUUAACUUGGGAAUUGCGCUUGUAACUGGCAAGCUAGAGUGUGGCAGAGGGGGGUGGAAUUCCACGUGUAGCAGUGAAAUGCGUAGAUAUGUGGAGGAAUACCGAUGGCGAAGGCAGCCCCCUGGGUUAACACUGACGCUCAUGCACGAAAGCGUGGGGAGCAAACAGG